UGAACGCUGGCGGCGUGCCUAACACAUGCAAGUCGAACGGGAACCCUUGGAUUCGUCUGAGGGGGAGAGUGGCGAACGGGUGAGUAACACGUAGGUGACCUGCCCUAAAGACGGGAAUAACCAUUGGAAACGAUGGCUAAUGCCCGAUGUGCUCGGCGAUUCGUUUCGUUGAGUAAAAGCUCCGGCGCUUUGGGAGGGGCCUGCGGCCCAUCAGCUAGUUGGUAGGGUAAUGGCCUACCAAGGCAGAGACGGGUAGGGGGCGUGAGAGCGUGACCCCCCACACUGGCACUGAGACACGGGCCAGACUUCUACGGAAGGCAGCAGUGAGGAAUAUUGCGCAAUGGGCGAAAGCCAGACGCAGCAACGCCGCGUGGGUGAUGAAGGCCUUCGGGUCGUAAAACCCUUUUGUGGGGGAAGAGUAAGGACGGUACCCCAAGAAUAAGCGUCGGCUAACUACGUGCCAGCAGCCGCGGUAAAACGUAGGACGCGAGCGUUAUCCGGAUUUACUGGGCGUAAAGAGCGUUGAGGCGGUUCCGUAAGUUGGACGUGAAAGCUCCCGGCUCAACUGGGAGAGGCCGUUCAAUACUGCGGGACUUGAGGACAGCAGAGGGGGGUGGAAUUCCCGGUGUAGUGGUGAAAUGCGUAGAUAUCGGGAGGAACACCAGUGGCGAAGGCGGCCCCCUGGGCUGAUCCUGACGCUGGAGGCGAAAGCUAGGGGAGCGAACGGGAUUAGAAACCCCGGUAGUCCUAGCCGUAAACGAUGGAUACUAGGUGUGGGAGGCCGAAAAAACCUUCCGUGCCGUAGCUAACGCGCUAAGUAUCCCGCCUGGGGACUACGGCCGCAAGGCUAAAACUCAAAGGACUUGACGGGAGCCCGCACAAGCAGCGGAGCGUGUGGUGGAAGUCGCGAGGCUACGCGGAAGAACGUUACCAGGGCGUGACAGGCAAGUGAGUAGUGAAGCGAAAGCGGAACGAGCCCUUCGGGGAGCUUGCACAGGUGCUGCAUGGCUGUCGUCAGGUCGUGCCGUGAGGUGUUAGGUUAAGUCCUGUAACGAGCGCAACCCGUACUGUCAGUUACAUGUGUCUGGCGGGACUGCCCGGCUCAACCGGGAGGAAGUUGGGGAUGACGUCAAGUCAGCAUGGCCUUUAUGUCCUGGGCUACACACACGCUACAAUGGCCGGUACAAUGGGUAGCCAAGCCGCGAGGCGGAGCCAAUCCUCCAAAGCCGGUCUCAGUUCGAAUUGUAGGCUGCAACUCGCCUACAUGAAGCUGGAGUUGCUAGUAACCGCAGGUCAGCCACACUGCGGUGAUACGUUCCCGGGCUUUGUACACACCGCCCGUCACGUCAUGGGAGUCGGCAACACCUGAAGCCGGUGGGCCAACCGAAAGGAGGCGGCCGUCG
rnacentral:rRNA from 1 species